GUGCCAGCAGCCGCGGUAAUACGUAGGUGGCAAGCGUUGUCCGGAUUUACUGGGCGUAAAGGAUGUGUAGGCGGAUAUUUAAGGGAGAUGUGAAAUCCCCGGGCUUAACUUGGGGGCUGCAUUUCAAACUGGAUGUCUAGAGUGCAGGAGAGGAAAGCAGAAUUCCUAGUGUAGCGGUGUAAUGCGUAGAGAUUAGGAAGAAUACCAGUGGCGAAUUCGGAUUUCUGGACUGUAACUGAUGCUGAGGCAUGAAA
rnacentral:rRNA from 1 species